rnacentral:rRNA from 1 species
UAGGGAAUCUUCGGCAAUGGACGAAAGUCUGACCGAGCAACGCCGCGUGAGUGAAGAAGGUUUUCGGAUCGUAAAGCUCUGUUGUAAGAGAAGAACGAGUGUGAGAGUGGAAAGUUCACACUGUGACGGUAUCUUACCAGAAAGGGACGGCUAACUACGUGCCAGCAGCCGCGGUAAUACGUAGGUCCCGAGCGUUGUCCGGAUUUAUUGGGCGUAAAGCGAGCGCAGGCGGUUAGAUAAGUCUGAAGUUAAAGGCUGUGGCUUAACCAUAGUACGCUUUGGAAACUGUUUAACUUGAGUGCAAGAGGGGAGAGUGGAAUUCCAUGUGUAGCGGUGAAAUGCGUAGAUAUAUGGAGGAACACCGGUGGCGAAAGCGGCUCUCUGGCUUGUAACUGACGCUGGGGCUCGAAAGCGUGGGGAGCAAACAGGAUUAGAUACCCUGGUAGUCCACGCCGUAAACGAUGAGUGCUAGGUGUUAGACCCUUUCCGGGGUUUAGUGCCGCAGCUAACGCAUUAAGCACUCCGCCUGGGGAGUACGACCGCAAGGUUG